GAUGAACGCUGGCGGCGUGCCUAAUACAUGCAAGUCGAGCGAACAGACGAGGAGCUUGCUCCUCUGACGUUAGCGGCGGACGGGUGAGUAACACGUGGAUAACCUACCUAUAAGACUGGGAUAACUUCGGGAAACCGGAGCUAAUACCGGAUAAUAUAUUGAACCGCAUGGUUCAAUAGUGAAAGACGGUUUUGCUGUCACUUAUAGAUGGAUCCGCGCCGCAUUAGCUAGUUGGUAAGUUAACGGCUUACCAAGGCAACGAUGCGUAGCCGACGUGAGAGGGUGGUCGGCCACACUGGAACUGAGACACGGUCCAGACUCCUACGGGAGGCAGCAGUAGGGAAUCUUCCGCAAUGGGCGAAAGCCUGACGGAGCAACGCCGCGUGAGUGAUGAAGGUCUUCGGAUCGUAAAACUCUGUUAUUAGGGAAGAACAAAUGUGUAAGUAACUAUGCACGUCUUGACGGUAACUAAUCAGAAAGCCACGGCUAACUACGUG
rnacentral:rRNA from 1 species